rnacentral:rRNA from 1 species
AUUGAACGCUGGCGGCAUGCCUUACACAUGCAAGUCGAACGGUAACAGAUCUUCGGAUGCUGACGAGUGGCGAACGGGUGAGUAAUACAUCGGAACGUGCCUAGUAGUGGGGGAUAACUACUCGAAAGAGUGGCUAAUACCGCAUGAGAUCUACGGAUGAAAGCAGGGGAUCGCAAGACCUUUCGGUACUAGAGCGGCCGAUGGCAGAUUAGGUAGUUGGUGGGAUAAAAGCUUACCAAGCCGACGAUCUGUAGCUGGUCUGAGAGGACGAUCAGCCACACUGGGACUGAGACACGGCCCAGACUCCUACGGGAGGCAGCAGUGGGGAAUUUUGGACAAUGGGCGCAAGCCUGAUCCAGCAAUGCCGCGUGCAGGAUGAAGGCCUUCGGGUUGUAAACUGCUUUUGUACGGAACGAAAAGCCCUGGGUUAAUACCCUGGGGUCAUGACGGUACCGUAAGAAUAAGCACCGGCUAACUACGUGCCAGCCGCCGCCGUAAAAC